AUUGACCGCUGGCGGCCGGCCUAACACAUGCAAGUCGAACGAGUGGCGGACGGGUGAGUAAUGUCUGGGACACUGCCCGAUGGAGGGGGAUAACUACUGGAAACGGUAGCUAAUCCCGCAUACUAUCGGUUCUGCCCAGAUGGGAUUAGCUAGUAGGUGGGGAAACGGCUCACCUAGGCGACGAUCCCUAGCUGGUCUGAGAGGAUGACCAGCCACACUGGAACUGAGACACGGCCCAGACUCCUACGGGAGGCAGCAGUGGGGAAUAUUGCACAAUGGGCGAAAGCCUGAUGCAGCCAUGCCGCGUGUAUGAAGAAGGCCUUCGGGUUGUAAAGUACUGUCAGCGAGGAGGCGUUACUCGCAGAAGAAGCACCGGCUAACUCCGUGCCAGCAGCCGCGGUAAUAC
rnacentral:rRNA from 1 species